UUCAGUACAUGUGUUAAAAAAAUGUUGUUUUUGUUUUUAUAUAUAUAAAUAUAUAAAAACAAAAACAACAUUUUUUUUAACACAUGUACUGAA